UACGGAGGAUCCAAGCGUUAUCCGGAUUUAUUGGGUUUAAAGGGUGCGCAGGCGGAAGAUUAAGUCGGCGGUGAAAUUUUGCAGCUCAACUGUAAAAGUGCCAUCGAUACUGGUUUUCUUGAGUGUGGAUGAAGUAGGCGGAAUUUGUGGUGUAGCGGUGAAAUGCAUAGAUAUCACGAGGAACUCCGAUUGCGCAGGCAGCUUACUAGGCCAUAACUGACGCUCAUGCACGAAGGCGUGGGGAUCAAACAGGAUUA
rnacentral:rRNA from 1 species